AAUGAACGUUGGCGGCGUGGAUUAGGCAUGCAAGUCGAGCGGCAGCAGGCCCGCAAGGGCGCUGGCGAGCGGCGAAAGGGAGAGUAACACGCGGGUACCUGCCCUCGGGACCGGGAUAGCUGCGGGAAACUGCAAUUAAUACCGGAUAAUGUCCCCGGACCAAAUGGUGUGAUUCCGCCUGAGGAGGGGCCCACGUCCUAUCAGCUAGUUGGUGAGGUAACGGCUCACCAAGGCUGCGACGGGUACGGGGUGUGAGAGCAUGCCCCCGCUCACUGGGACUGAGACACUGCCCAGACACCUACGGGUGGCUGCAGUCGAGAAUCUUCCGCAAUGGGCGAAAGCCUGACGGAGCGACGCCGCGUGCGGGAUGAAGGCCUUCGGGUUGUAAACCGCUGUCAGAGGGGAACAAGUUCAUGGGGGUUCUCCCCUGCGUUUGAGUGAUCCUCAGAGGAAGCGCAGGCUAAGUCCGUGCCAGCCGCCGCCGUAA
rnacentral:rRNA from 1 species